rnacentral:rRNA from 1 species
UACGUAGGGGGCAAGCGUUGUCCGGAUUCAUUGGGCGUAAAGAGCGUGUAGGCGGCCAGGCAGGUCCGCUGUGAAAACUCGAGGCUCAACCUCGAGAUGUCGGUGGAAACCGUCUGGCUAGAGUCCGGAAGAGGAGAGUGGAAUUCCCGGUGUAGCGGUGAAAUGCGCAGAUAUCGGGGAAGAACACCCCGUGGCGAAGGCGGCUCUCUGGGACGGUACUGAUGCUGAGACGCGAAAGCGUGGGGAGCGAACAGG